AACAAAAGAACAACCUAAUAAGACAAGAUCAGGGCAAUUCGAAAAGGAAAGUGCACCACCCUUCUUACUGCGACUUCAUAUUCUUCGCAGAGACAAAGAAACUCCGAUAUGGUAGUGAAAAGAGGUUAAUGUCCAGAAGAGAUCUCGAAAUACUGGUCACAUUUUGGUCCAAGAGAAAGCUAGCUUGAGUAGAAGUCACUGAGGAAACUUAUAAUUCUCACAAGCGCCAUGACCCUAGCUCGAUGAAGGCUCCUUCAAAGUAGCUUCAUAAAUCCAAAAUGACAUGUAUCAAUGGCUAAUACAAUGUUUAACGAUGUCCAUCUUGUCGUUCUCGUCCAUGCUCCAGCUGAGGAGCCUGUAGCAAGUGAUUGUGGUCGAGGCAGGGGUAGAUGAAUAGCUAGGGGUAGAGGUCAUGUAAGAGUAACACCCGCUUGGAAUAAGGUACCUGUUGAAAAUGCUCCAAUGAAUGAUCUGCCUGCGCAUAAUGAGGAGUUAGAAGAGGAUAUUAAGGUUGGAGAUUUAAGGAAAUUUGACAUGAAAAAGAGGUGCCACCGGAAUCCACAGUUGUUCCUUCCUCGGAUCCAGUGCUAGCGCAAAAGACCAUGUCAUUUUUGAAGGGCUUGGUUGGUCUUUGAAAGCACCCGAUGACCAAGCAACUCAGGCUCCCGCAAAUCCUUUUAUUGCUAAAACUUCUCCUAAGGUGAGUGGAACAUGAGGAAAUGUUGCUUUCUUCCUUCUUUUGUUAGGUUCUGUUACAACUAGCAAUGAGCAUGACAUGUUGACUAAGUUCUUCAAGUUUAAGCCUCCGGUAUUUUUGGGUUCUAAAAUUGAUGAUGCUUAUGAGUUUAUGUUAGAUUAUUAUGAGAGAUUGCAUAAAUUGGGUAUUGUUCACCAACAUGGGUUGAGUUUGUGUCAUUCCAGAGGCUAAGAAAUGGUGGAGAUCUUAUAUAGAGUGUAGGUCUUCUACUUUACCACCAGUUACUUGGACUAAAUUUCAUACUCUGUUUCUAGAAAAGUAUGUACCUAGAACUUUGAGGGAUCGCAAGAAGGAUGAGUUUAUGGCCUUAGAGCAAGGUGGUAUGUCCGUGGCUGCUUAUGAGGACAAGUUCCAUGUUUUAUCUAGAUAUGCUACGCAAUUGGUUACUAUAGAGGAGGAGAGGAUUCACUUAUUCAUUAGGGGGAUGGAUUCUAAAUAGCAAAUGUUAUCUGUCUAUAUAACUUCCACAUGGAGGAGCUUCAAUGAGGUGACAGACUAUGUUAAGAAAGUGGAUGGCAUGAAGAGAGAUGCUUAGGCUAAGGCGUUCGCUAAGAGAUCUAAGAACUCUGAAUAUUUUCAGGGCUCCUAUUCGAGAGGAUAUGGUAGGCCAACUCUGGCACACAAGCCAAUUCACUCUGUUAUGCCCGCCGCUACAGGGAACUAUUCGGGAACUACAUCUUAUAAUUUUCAGGAUAGUCAGGGAGUCAUGUCUUCGAUGGGUAGCAGACCAUCUUUUAGUCAUACUUGCUAUAAUUGUGGAGAACAUGGACAUAUGAGGAGAGAUUGCCCCUUCCAUGUGGGCUAGACCCCACACAUCAUCCAUCUAGAGUAGAUGCACCCUCGGAGAAUAGUAAUAAUGGUAGAGGAUGUCCACAAGGUGGUCGAGGAGGUAAUCAACGAGGUCGUGGAGGAAGAAGACAUGGUAAUGUGAGCAGAGGUAACAUAUAACAAGGAAGGGAGGUAGAUCGUUAAGAUGAUAUGCCUUAGCAUUAUGCUUUUUUCGUGCAAGAACAAGGCUGAGACGUUUGACAGGGUCAUCACAUGUACUAUUCUUGUUUAUUCUUGUUUGUGACCGGAUGACUAAUGUGAUGUUCUUGAUGCCCCUAUUCAUGUUUCUACUCCUGUUGGAGAGUCAGUCAUAGUUAUUGUUGGCGCCCAAUUGUGAUCCUCCCUGAUAUAAAUUAAUCUUCGAGCCUCUUAAUUCCAAA